rnacentral:lncRNA from 1 species
CAUGAUACCCCGCCAUACCCCAUACCCCCAUAACCCCAUUUACCCCCUACCCCCUAGCCCCCCUUACCCCAUAGCCCCCCAUAACCCUUCCUUUACCCCAUAACCCCCCAUAGCCCCAUAACCCCCCACAACCCCAUAACUCCCAUAACCCCCAUUACCCCCCAUAACCCAUUAGGCCCCCGCAUAACCCCCCAUACCCCAUAACCCCCCAUAGACCCCCAUACCCCCAUAGACCCCAUAACCCCCCAUAACCCCAUAGCCCCCCAUGACCCCAUAGCCCCCCAUAACCCUUCCUUUACCCCAUAACCCCCCCACAGACCCCAUAACCCCCCAUACCUAUAACCCCCCUAACCUCCAUAGCCCCCCAUAACCUUCCUUACCCCAUAACUCCCCGACCCCAUACCCCCAAGCCCCAUAACCCCCACCCAUAGCCCAUGACCACACACAUCGCCCCCCUCGCACCCCCGUCCCCUAUACAACCCACCACAUCAUCCUAUCAACGUAAUACCAUGAACCCCCCCCGACCCCCGCAUAACCCCCAUUCACCCCAUCAGCUCCCAUAACCCUCUCUAUGGGGUGAUAUGGGAUUCUGUGGGGGUUCUAUAGGGUCAUAUGGAGGUUAUGGGGUUCUAUGGAGAUUACAUGGGGUUAUAUGGGAUUCUAUGGGGUUAUAUGGGGUCAUAUUGGGGUUUAUGGGGGUUCUAUGGGGUUCUAUGGGGAUUAUAUGGGGUUAUAUGAAGGUUAUAUGAGGGUUAUGGGAUUCUAUGGGGUUCUAUGGGGUUCUAUGGGGUUCUAUGGGAUUAUAUGGGGUUAUAUGAAAGUUAUAUGGGAGUUAUGGGAUUCUAUGGGGUUCUAUGGGGGUUACAUGGGGUUCUGUGGGAUUCUAUGGGAUUCUAUGGGGUUAUAUGGGGUUAUAUGGGGUUCUAUGGGAUUAUAUGGGGUUAUAUGAAGGUUAUAUGGGGUUAUAUGGGGUUCUAUGGGGUUCUAUGUUGUUCUAUGUGGUUAUGUGGGGUUCUAUGGGUUUCUAUGGAAUUAUACAGGGUUCUAUGGGGUUAUAUGGGAUUCUAUGGGGUUCUAUGGGGUUAUAUGGGAUUCUAUGGGGUUAUAUGGGGUUCUAUGGGGUUAUAUGGGGGUUAUAUGGGGUUAUAUGAAUGUUAUAUGGGGUUAUAUGGGGUUAUAUGGGAUUCUGUGGGGGUUCUAUGGGAUUCUAUGGGGUUAUAUGGGGUUAUAUGAAUGUUAUAUGGGGUUAUAUGGGGUUCUAUGGGAUUCUAUGGGGUUCUAUGGAAUUCUAUGGGGUUCUAUGGGGUUAUAUGGGGUUCUAUGGGGGUUAUAUGGGGUUCUAUGGAAUUCUAUGGGGGUUAUAUGGGAUUCUAUGGGGUUCUAUGGGGUUCUAUGGGGUUAUAUGGGAUUCUAUGGGGUUAUUUGGGGUUCUAUGGGGUUAUAUGAAAUUCUAUGGGGUUAUAUGGGGUUCUAUGGGGGUUCUAUGGGGUCAUGA